UAAUAUCAUUGGAUAGAGUUUCCCUGAAGCAAAAGGUAGUGGAUGCUCCUGAGAUCUUGACAGUGAUUGGGAAAAUCCUGUACCUUUCUGAGUUUUUAAAUUCUCUAUAUGAUUGUCAAUACAAAUCAUUUUUCUCAGCAUUUGCUGGCCUCACGGAGCAAAGAGCAAAUUAAACUUGAUCGUUAUUUGCAUCCUCACUUCCGAUAUUACAUGAGGGAGGUCAG
rnacentral:misc_RNA from 1 species